rnacentral:rRNA from 1 species
UGCCAGCAGCCGCGGUAACACGUACUGUGCGAACGUUAUUCGGAAUCACUGGGCUUAAAGGGUGCGUAGGCGGCUUUGCAAGUCAGGUGUGAAAGUCAACGGCUCAACCGUUGAAUAGCGCUUGAAACUGCAUGGCUUGAGUAUCUCAGGGGUGUGUGGAACUUCCAGUGGAGCGGUGAAAUGUGUUGAUAUUGGAAGGAACGCCGGUAGCGAAAGCGGCACACUGGGGGAUAACUGACGCUGAGGCACGAAAGCCAGGGUAGCGAACGGGAUUAGAUA